rnacentral:snoRNA from 1 species
AUGAGAUUGAGAGAGAGAGGAUGAGAGAGGAGGGGAGGAUGGAGGGAUGAGUAACAAAAGUGAAAACAAUUUUAAAUAAAUUUUUGUUUUCACUUUUGUUACUCAUUUCUCCCAUCCUCCCUUCUCAUAUUCCUCAAUUCUAUCUUCACUCUCAUUCUCAUU